rnacentral:rRNA from 1 species
GAUGAACGCUAGCGGCAGGCCUAAUACAUGCAAGUCGAGGGGCAGCAGGAAUAGCAAUAUUUGCUGGCGACCGGCGCACGGGUGCGUAACACGUAUACAAUCUGCCUUUAACAGGGGGAUAGCCCGGAGAAAUCCGGAUUAAUACCCCAUAAUAGAUCGAAUGGCAUCAUUUGAUUUUGAAAGCUCCGGCGGUUAAAGAUGAGUAUGCGUCUGAUUAGCUAGUUGGUGAGGUAACGGCUCACCAAGGCGACGAUCAGUAGGGGAUCUGAGAGGAUUAACCCCCACACGGAUACUGAGACACGGAUCCGACUCCUACGGGAGGCAGCAGUAAGGAAUAUUGGACAAUGCCCGCAAGGGUGAUCCAGCCAUGCCGCGUGCAGGAAGACGGCCCUAUGGGUUGUAAACUGCUUUUACACCGGAGAAACCUCCCCUCGUGAGGGGAGCUGAUAGUAUGGUGAGAAUAAGCAUCGGCUAACUUCGUGCC